rnacentral:lncRNA from 1 species
CCAGCUCAGAGCGUUGCCACCCCAGCAGAACAAAUUGCAGAGCCUUUUCCUCUCUUCUUCCUGAAAGGAAAAACCCUCGGCCUGGGCAGCAAAAGCAUCGCUGAAUCUGCUGGUGCUGAGCAGAGACCUCUUCUUGUGGUUGGUGGUGACAUCCACAGCGAUGGCUGGGUAUCUCAUUUGAGGAAGAACAGCCUCUAUGGGAUGAAGGACAGCCCAGCUUCUACUGGAAGAUCUGACAUCUUGAACCUCGUAGGGAAGGCUCAGAGUCAGUUUGUUGUGCGUGCAGUUCCGGGGAGGCAGCAGUCUGGACAGCUGAGGUUGCUGAGACAAUAUGCAACACCCUCGUGCGCUGCCUUGGGCUACAGCAAGUGAGAAAUGGAGCUCAAGCAGGUAACAUGCAAAUGCACGUGAAGGGGUGCGAUCAGGGAAUUCAUUUUGUUUCCCUAAAGAGUAGUAAAAAUGCCCUCGUGACCCC